ACUCAGGUGGCCUAGUGGUUACAGCGUUUGUCUCAGAUGCAGGAGGAUGCAGGUUCGAACCCGGGUCAAGUA